rnacentral:siRNA from 1 species
UGCAGAAUAUUUUCACGGUUUUGC